GUAGGUGGCAAGCGUUGUCCGGAAUUAUUGGGCGUAAAGCGCGCGCAGGCGGUUCUUUAAGUCUGAUGUGAAAGCCCACGGCUCAACCGUGGAGGGUCAUUGGAAACUGGAGAACUUGAGUACAGAAGAGGAAAGCGGAAUUCCACGUGUAGCGGUGAAAUGCGUAGAGAUGUGGAGGAACACCAGUGGCGAAGGCGGCUUUCUGGUCUGUAACUGACGCUGAGGCGCGAAAGCGUGGGGAGCAAACAGGAUUAGAUACCCUGGUAGUCCACGCCGUAAACGAUGAGUGCUAAGUGUUAGGGGGUUUCCGCCCCCCUUAGUGCUGCAGCUAACGCAUUAAGCACUCCGCCCUGGGAGUACGACCGCAAGGUUG
rnacentral:rRNA from 1 species